AAAAAAAAAAAGAAGAAGAAGACAGAGGAGAGGGUGGAGUGGUGGAGACGAACGACGGAGCUUGAAGCUCGUUAGCAACGGUGGGCCGAACGGUUGAGGAAGGGAGAACACUGGUGGUUAUUGUCGAGGAAAGUUGGUGAGUUCUUGUGAAGAAGAAGACAUGGGGUAUUGAGAGGAAAGAAAGAUCAAGAAGAAGGUGGGAAGAAGAGGCCGAAAACUGAGGGGGUACGACCUGACCCGACCCGACCCACCUGAAAAUUCCAAUCUUAGUCAAGGGGACACUUGAAGGCUCGAUAAAGUUUUGGGAAGUCUACAAUCAGGAGAAAAGUAGAUCUGGGUUGGUGGCGGGGACGUGUGGAGUCGUGCAAUUGUAGAAGGGGGCCCUUUGAUUGAGUCAUCUUCUCCCAUGUCGUUUUGGUUAUGAUUUUGACGUUUUUGGAAAAACCUGCGAUAUUUUGUAACCGUUUCUUUUUAUGUGACCCCGCAGAUUUUUUUUUUUUUGCAUUAUGUGUUUUGUAGUAUUUUUUUUUUAAAUUUAUAUCAAGCAACUUUUAACUUUU